UACCAGCACCCCGAGUGGUCGGGACGAUUAUUGGGCCUAAAGCAUCCGUAGCCGGUUUUACAAGUCCUCCGUUAAAUCCAGCUGCUUAACAGAUGGGCUGCGGAGGAUACUAUAAGACUAGGAGGCAGGAGAGGCAAGCGGUACUCAGUGGGUAGGGGUAAAAUCCGUUUGAUCCAUUGAAGACCCACCAGUGGCGAAGGCGGGUCUCUGGACAGUUCCUGACACUGAGACACGAAGGCCGGGGAGCAAACGGG
rnacentral:rRNA from 1 species